rnacentral:rRNA from 1 species
AUGACCAGGAGCUUCAUCGCCGACAUGUACAUAGCCUACAACCUCCAGUUCGAGCUGAAGCCCUCCACAACCUCGCCAUCCAGUCGUCUUCCCCGCCACGGCCACGGCGCCAUCACCGUCGAUCUCCACCACCGAUGCCUCCCCGCGGUUCCGAGUUCGUCCAUGACCUCCCUCGCAUCGAUGGAGCCCAGGAGCCAGACGGCACCGUCGAUGACGACUACUACUACUCGGGAGGUGCCUAGUACUACGUGCAGCCUGCUGACGACGACCAGGAGUAGUUUAGGAGGAUCCCAGGCAGGAGGCCUGCGCGUCUUUCGAUAUGUAUCCCAGUUUGUGCUAGCCUUCUUAGGGCAAACUUGUUUAACUUAUGUCUGUACUCAGAUAUUGUUGCUUCCGCUGACUCGUCUAUGA